AUAAUGUGUGUUCUGUCGUGUUAGGUGCAGAGUUAGUAUGAGAAUGUGUGUUCUGUCGUGUUAGUUUAGAGUUAGAAUGAUAAUGUGUGUUCUGUCGUGUUAGUUUAGAGUUAGAAUGAUAAUGUGUGUUCUGUCGUGUUAGUUUAGAGUUAGAAUGAUAAUGUGUGUUCUGUCGUGUUAGUUUAGAGUUAGAAUGAUAAUGUGUGUUCUGUCGUGUUAGUUUAGAGUUAGAAUGAUAAUGUGUGUUCUGUCGUGUUAGUUUAGAGUUAGAAUGAUAAUGUGUGUUCUGUCGUGUUAGUUUAGAGUUAGAAUGAUAAUGUGUGUUCUGUCGUGUUAGUUUAGAGUUAGAAUGAUAAUGUGUGUUCUGUCGUGUUAGUUUAGAGUUAGAAUGAUAAUGUGUGUUCUGUCGUGUUAGUUUAGAGUUAGAA